rnacentral:rRNA from 1 species
UAGGGAAUCUUCCACAAUGGGCGAAAGCCUGAUGGAGCAACGCCGCGUGUGUGAUGAAGGGUUUCAGCUCGUAAAACACUGUUGUAAGAGAAGAAUGACAUUGAGAGUAACUGUUCAAUGUGUGACGGUAUCUUGCCAGAAAGGAACGGCUAAAUACGUGCUAG